rnacentral:rRNA from 1 species
UACGGAGGGUGCAAGCGUUGCUCGGAAUCAUUGGGCGUAAAGCGCACGUAGGCGGACUGUUAAGUCGGAUGUGAAAUCCCUCAGCUUAACUGAGGAAGUGCAUUCGAAACUGGCAGUCUUGAGUAUGGAAGAGGGUCGCGGAAUUCCCGGUGUAGAGGUGAAAUUCGUAGAUAUCGGGAGGAACACCAGUGGCGAAGGCGGCGACCUGGGCCAAUACUGACGCUGAGGUGCGAAAGCGUGGGGAGCAAACAGG